rnacentral:rRNA from 1 species
ACGCUGGCGGCGUGCCUAAUACAUGCAAGUCGAACGAAUCUCUUUUAGAGAUGAGUGGCGAACGGGUGAGUAAUACAUAGGUAACCUGCCCCUGUGCGGGGGAUAACAGGAGGAAACUCCUGCUAAUACCGCAUAGCCAUGAGCACCGCAUGGAGCUCAUGCCAAAUAUCCUUUAUGGGAUAGCGCAGGGAUGGACCUAUGGCGCAUUAGCUGGUUGGCGGGGCAACGGCCCACCAAGGCAACGAUGCGUAGCAGGCCUGAGAGGGCGGACGGCCACAUUGGGACUGAGACACGGCCCAGACUCCUACGGGAGGCAGCAGUAGGGAAUUUUCGGCAAUGGGGGAAACCCUGACCGAGCAACGCCGCGUGAGCGAAGAAGGCCUUCGGGUCGUAAAGCUCUGUUGUAAAGGAAGAACGGCGCAUACAGGAAAUGGUAUGCGAGUGACGGUACUUUACCAGAAAGCCACGGCUAACUACGUGCCAGCAGCCGCGGUAAUACGUAGGUGGCGAGCGCUAUCCGGAAUCAUUGGGCGUAAAGAGGGAGCAGGCGGCCGCAAGGGUCUGUGGUGAAAGACCGAAGCUAAACUUCGGUAAGCCAUGGAAACCGGGCGGCUAGAGUGCGGAAGAGGAUCGUGGAAUUCCAUGUGUAGCGGUGAAAUGCGUAGAUAUAUGGAGGAACACCAGUGGCGAAGGCGACGGUCUGGGCCGCAACUGACGCUCAUUCCCGAAAGCGUGGGGAGCAAAUAGGAUUAGAUACCCUAGUAGUCCACGCCGUAAGCGAUGGUCACUAAGUGUCGGGGGUCAAACCCCGGUGCUGCAGUCAACGCAAUAAGUGACCCGCCUGAGUAGUACGUUCGCAAGAAUGCAACUCAAAGGAAUUGACGG